AUGACGUAAUGCAUGUCGCAAAUUUCUGCUUCGAGAGAGGAAGGAGAAUGAGUAAAUACAUCUUCUAGUCGGAUUUGGUCCAAAAUUUAAAUACAGAAUAUUCAUAAUGCUCUAUGAAUAUUAUAGGGAUUUUCAUUGGAAAGAAAUGAAAUUCGGCCACUGAAAUUAUGAGCAUUAAAGAAUGAAAACAACAAUGAAAAAUGUUCUUUCCAUGAAAAAGUCCUUGGCAGACAUUAAAUGAUCUAAUCCUCCUAAUAAGUGGCAGCCAGAUAAAGAAGAAAACAACGCUCUCAGAAUUUUAAUCCUCCGUCUUUUCCAAAGUUGCUAUCUAUAUGAUAAUUCCAAAGCAUGCCGAGAGUAAAAACAUGGUUUUACUCACACCCCAUCCAGUUCUGAGUGACAAGUACAGGUGUGCUUUCCA